rnacentral:rRNA from 1 species
GAGUUUGAUCGUGGCUCAGAUUGAACGCUGGCGGAAUGCUUUACACAUGCAAGUCGAGCGGCAGCGCGGGGCAACCUGGCGGCGAGCGGCGAACGGGUGAGUAAUGCAUCGGAACAUGUCCAUGUCGUGGGGGAUAGCCCGGCGAAAGCCGGAUUAAUACCGCAUACGCCCGAGAGGGGAAAGUGGGGGACCGCAAGGCCUCACGCGAUUGGGUUGGCCGAUGUCCGAUUAGCUAGUUGGCGGGGUAAGAGCCCACCAAGGCGAUGAUCGGUAGCUGGUCUGAGAGGAUGAUCAGCCACACUGGGACUGAGACACGGCCCAGACUCCUACGGGAGGCAGCAGUGGGGAAUUUUGGACAAUGGGGGCAACCCUGAUCCAGCCAUUCCGCGUGAGUGAAGAAGGCC